CUCAGUCCGGUUCUAAAGAAGUUCCCCCAGCUACCCAUCUGAGUUCGAGUUACGUUUGCAGCACUCGGUUUCAUAAGGCAAGUAAAUGUGUAAUGAGACAGAGAUGAAGAGAUUUCUGUGAAGUGGGAGAAAUGGAAAAAUUGGUUUGCUGCAAAGAGCGGUUUCAGUGACUGGGAAAAUGAACUCCUCGCCAGUGAGUGGCAGUGUGAGCUCUUGGGCUCUGGAGGCAGACAGGCCUGGGCGCAAAUCCUGGCUGAGCUUUGUGCCACAGGAUCAUCAGCAGGUUACCAAGCUCCCUAAGCCUUGGUUUCCCAUCUAUGCAAUGCGGGUUAAAGGGUUUUGGUGAGCAUGUAAAGUGCUUAGCCCAGGCCAGGCACGUGUCAAUCCCCGUUAUUACGUUUUAUUGCAGGCAAGCCAAAGUGUAAAGAUGUGGUCUUGACCUCCACCACUGUUGGGAUCCCUGGGACCACAUUCUCACCUUGGGUUUCUCCCUUCCUGUGACAGGUGUCGGGCUGGGUCCCCAUCUGGGUCCCAUGUUGUGGCUGUGGCCUGCAGGACACUGCUCUCUGUGCUUGCUGCAAAGCAUGGCUAGUGGUCCUGCCCCACCUCUGUAGUUAGGGAUCCCUGGUCAUAUGGCUGCUCUGCCCCCUGCAUCCUUGGUCACUCUUAGUGCUGCUCCCAUCUUGUACCUGGACACUACCAGUCCAUCCCACCAGCAAGGUCCUCACUGAGGCCCCACAUUAUAGGUGGCCCACACUUCCAGCUUCCAGCAGAGGCUCAGCAAAGCAAGGGUUGCAAGAUCGAACCCGGCCUCACAGAUGGUACUGACCUCAGGAUGAGCCCUCCCAACCCAGGUAGUCCCUGACAUGCUGGGCCUUGUCCCCGUCUUUAUGUGAAAUCUUCAUCCCCCGACAUCACCCCUCCUUGCUUCCCCGGGGAAAGUAUUUUUACCACCUGGUAGCUUUGAUGACAACUCAGGGUUCCCACUCUGGACUACAAAGUAGAACCUGGGUGUGCGAGGUUCCAGACACACUCCGUAUUAGUUUCUUGUGGCUGCUAUAACAGAUUACCACAAACUCAAUGGCUUAAAACAGCAGAAGUUUAUUUUCUUACAGUUCUGGAGGCCAGAAGUCCAAAAUGAAGGUGUCAGCAGGGCCAUGCUCCCUCUGAAGGCUCUGGGGCAGAAUGCUUCCCUGCCUAUUCUUGAACUUCUGUGGGCUCCAGACAUUCCUCGGUUUGUGGCUGCAUCUCUCCAAUCUCUGCUCCAUCUUCACAUGGCCUUUGAUGUCUUCUCCUCUUCUGUCUUUUAUAAGGACACUUGUGAUUGGAUUUAGGGCCUACCAAGGUAAUCCGGGGGGAACUCAUCUCAAGAUCCUUAACUUAAUUGCAUGUGCAAAACCUUUUACGAAAUAGGGUCACAUUCACAGGUGCUAGAAUGUGGACAUGUCUUUUUGGGGGCCACCAUUCAACUCACUACACAUUCCAUAUCUUGAUGACCACUGAGGGUGGAGGGAAAGCAGUGGAGGAGGGCUCUGGAGGAACUUCCUGGUUUUGAAUGAUUCUCCCAGGCUCUUACAGUAAUCCAUUAGAGAUAUCUGCUCACCCUUGCCCCACUCCACCUCCAACUUUCUUCUCAUCCCCAAUGCCCUCCAUCAACCCAGGCCAUUUUCAUGCAUGCUGAGGACUGAUUAGAAGGAUCUUCAGCACUUCAAGAUCUGCUGGCUUCAUGCCACACAGUUUUCCCAAACCAGGGCCCUGUGAGGUCCACUAGGAGAGCCCCCAGCCUCUCUUGAUGCUCGAACCCUGAAUCUCUGAAUCCGGGCUGAGUCUGAGCGCUCUUCCUUGCACCAGCCUGUGUGUAUUAAACCAGCUCUGCUAGGUUCAGUCCUAGGGAAAGUCCCUUAGCACCUAAAGUGUGUCCAUCACACAUGCACACUGACUAAUGCCUCAAGGAGGAGAGCAGUACUGUUGAUCCCCAUUUUCUGAAAAGAUUAUAUCCAAAUUGGACUUUUGGAAAGUGGCUUCUAUUUUCUUAUGGAUUUUCAAUAUUUUGGUGAUGAUCUACAUUUCCUUUCUCAUUACUUUUCUCAUAGCUUCAAUAUUUCUUUAAACCCCAAGUUGCGCUUUGUACAUAUUAAAGCAAACAUUCCGAAGUCACGCAGGAGAGGGACGAUUCUCCAUCAGGCAGGACCAGCCCACACACUGCAAGAUGUCCCUUAGCCCUGGCCCUUAAAAGCCAGCAGUGCCCCGUCAUGAACGACCACCAGGAGUGCCCCUAAACAGCAGAAUGGCACAGGGCAGUGGGCCCAUGGACGAACGCCCCUUCCCUGGGAGGGGAGCAGGGGAGCCAUCAUGUGGGGAGCUGCCUGCCGACGACAGAGUGCUCAGGAGCACUGAGGCUUGUAGAGGUUCCUCUGAAGUUUUUCCUAAGCUCUGAGUAUUUCCUACCACGAAGAUAGUGGCAGAUCUUGGUUCUCUGGUGGAAAUCUUGAUGCCUAUUAGUUGGUUACCCUGGUGAGUGCUUAAUAGACCUGAGGUUUUGAUCUUACUAACAUUCAAUAGUUUGAAGACCUGCUAAUCUUCAUGUCUAACAUAUGGAAAUUUACCUGUAUGUGAAACCAUUUACCUAUAUGUAAAACCAACCCUGGUGGUCUAGUGGUUAAGAUUCGGCACUCUCACGCCACAGCCCAGCUUGGUUUCCUGGUCAGGGAACCACCGCAUCGUUUGCUGGUUGUCACAGGACCUGGCCACCCACUUCGGAAAAACUGAGCAUGAAAACCCUGUGAACAGCAGUGGAGCAUUGCCUAAUAGAGUGCAGGAAGAUGAGAGGAGGACGCAAAAAGACCUGGCAGAGUUCCUCUCUGCUGUACACAGGGUCGCUAGGAGUUGGAAUCCAUGGCACUAACAACAAACCCGUAUGUAAAUGGCCACAUCUGCUGAGCCCAAAUGCAAAGCAACCCUUCAGGUCCGUCAAAGGAUUGGCAGCCUCUGGGAGGGCCGGGUGAGCAGAAUCAACAGAUCCUUGCCAGAGGGGCAAUGCUCUCUUUCCAGCUCCUCCAAGGUAUCUAGUGGGGACCUUCUAGGUGGGUCCCUGCUUGGUUUAUUGUGCUUUCCAACCUGCAACAAACUUCACAUCUGCCUCGCUAGUGACCCACAUUCUCAGUGGGCCUGUAUUCUCUUGGGAUUUUGAAGAGCCCUUAGAAUUUUCACUUUUUGCAGUAAGGCUAUCAGACCUCUAGCAACCAGGUGCUCCUGACCUGGCCACUAGGAGCCUGCUCUCAUGCUGAGCCAGCCAGCGCGUGACUCCCGGAAGUCGUCCCCGGGUCGGGGGAGGAGGAGACGCAGCUCUUUCCCGCUGGGUAAAUAUUGACUUGUGGUUUCAUAUGAAGGCAAUCGAGGCCUUCCCUGCUCUGGCCCCGCCACACUCUGGACUCCCAUUCCCUCUGUACGCUGCCCCCCACCAUUCUAUUACACAAACUAUUAGAUUUCCCAUAAUAAGCUGAAAAAUAAGCAUAAAAAACUUUGUUUUGUUCACUCAGGUCCUUCCCCUGGAUUCUCUUUCCCUUGCUUCUCUGUCUGGUGGCUCCUCCUGCUCCCCAGCCUCUGAGAAGCCCUGAGGCCCAGCCCGGGUAACACUCUAUCCUGUAGAGCAGCACCUCACACACAGCCUGCACAGGACGGGGUGGGCAGCCUUCCUCUGGGGUUCCGUUAGCUGCACCUCACAUGCGCGCUCAACGUCCUGGGCGUGAACUCCACCAAAGCGUGCCUCCUGGUGUCACAAUGGUCCCUUUGCUCUCAAUGGGGCUGUGAGCCUCUGAAGGGCAGGCCCAUGCUUUUGUUGCUUGUUUUUGUGACUCCAAUCUUCAGCAAUGUAACUAGCACGGAUAAUAUGUGCUCAGCUAAAGCUGAUUAAUUAAUAAAUGAGAAUUUCAGAGCUGAAGGAGAGAUCAUCUACUCCAGAGUUAUCACAAGUCCAGAGGGGCAAAGCAGCUUGAGUAAGUUAUAGUAGAGUGAAGACUAAACCAAGUUUCGUGAAUAAAUGGUUCCAGAACACUUGCUUUUUAUUUGUCCUCUGCACAGCGUCAUGGGAUCAAAAGAAAAACAAGAACUUUUUUUUCCUCCUUGUGAAACCUGCACCACAACCCAUUCCAGAGCUAGGUGCUCCAAUAAUUAUUGCAUCCAACUCUCGACAAAGGUUCACUGAAUGAAUUGAUGGAUAGAUCAAUGCAUAGAUCAAUGGAUGAUUGGACCACUUAUCUCUUUAUUAUUUAAAUUCUUUAAUGUGAAGUACACACAUAUACAGAAAAAUGCACAAAUUAUAAGUAGGCAACGCAAAAUUCUCACAAAGUGAGCAUGCAUUUAACUACCACUCAUGUCAAGAAAUAAAACGAUGUCAGCACCUGAAAGCCCUCAUUAUGCUUUCUCCCAAUUACUGCCUAUGCUCCUCUCCGAAAGUAACCACUUUCCCGACUUAACCAUAUAUUUGUUUUGCGUAUUUUUGAUUUUUAUGUAAAUGGAAUAACACAGUAUGAUUCCUGUGUGUCUGACUUCUUUCACUUAAUGUCAUGUUUGGGAGACUCAGGUGUGUGAUAGCAUAUUAGCUGUGGUUUGUUCAUUUUCAUUGCUGUGUUGAACUUCAUUGUAGGAUUACAGUGUGGUUUAGCCAUCCUUCCACAGGCAUAUAUCUGGAUUCUCCUUGGUUUGAGGCUAUUAUGAAGAAUACUGCUUAUGAACAUUCUUGCCCACGGAUUUUGGUGCACAUGAAAUGCAUUUCCCUCUGGAAUAUUCAUAGGAAGAGACUUGCUAUGUCAUGAGCGAGCCGGUUUUCUUCACAAUUUAUUGAAUAAUUAAACUUGCCCGACUGGUUUGGAAUGCUACUUUCGUAAGACACUAAGUAAGUACAUGUGUUUACUGUGCUUUGUGGAUUCUCUUUUCCGUUCCAUUGAAUCAUCUAUUUAUUUCAUCUCCAGGAGAUGGAACUUUACUCAUUCGUAGACUUUACUAUCUACUGGGGCUGCUCUCCCACAGCCUUCUCCCGCUUACUCUUCCCUCUCUCCUGGGAAUUUUCUUUGCAUUCAUUUCUGUGAAUUCCAGUAUCAUUUUGCAAAAUUCCUUCUCUUUCAAAAUACUAUUUUUUUGGACUGACAUAAAAUUAAUGGACUAGAGAGAUUUGACUUUAUAUUAUUGUUUUCUUUUCCAAGAAUAAAGGAAAUCUGUUACAUUGCUCAGUCAUUUAAAAUUUUUCUGUGUACAGGUUUUCUACAUUUCCUGUAAAAUUUAUCUCUGAAUCUUUUAUUUUUUUACUUGCUCUGGUAACAUGAGAUAUUCCUUUUAUUAUAUUUCCCAGCUGGUUAUUGUUUGUUUAUAUUAAAACUAUUAAUUUGUGUACUUUAAUAAAAUAAACUCUUUUUGAUGCUCUCUUUAGUUCCCAGAUUUUGGGGUAAGCAUUGUGAGCCCUCUAAAAAUACCGUAUCAGCAGUAAAUCAUGACCAUUUUGCCUUGUUUCUGAUAUUUGUAUCUCUUAUUUUUUUCUAACUGCAUUGGAUUGUGUUUCCAGAGCUCUGUUAAGUAGCAGUGGGAGAGGAGCACCCUGUCUGCUUCCUGAUUUUAAUGUUGUGCUUCUGUUUGGCGUGUGGGAAGACCUGAGUCAAGACCAGAGCCUCUUUGUUUUAUUUCUCAGCUUUGCAGAGAAAGUAAACGUUGGUAAGGCAAUUCUCCCCAGGGCCUAGUCACCUCCCUGGAGCUGUGCAGUAGGGUUUGAGGUCAAAGCCCCUUCAGCAAUAAAGUCUUCAUUGGCUUGCUUUGUUUACCAAGCACGUCUCUCUCUUUUAGAGUCUCUGUAGAGAUGGACGAUGUGAACAGAGUAGCUGCCCGAGACAGGAUUUGGGCCUCCUGGUCUCCUAGCCAAGCUUUUCCCUUCCUGUUAUGUCAUUUCCAAUGAUACAUUUCCGCUUAUUAACUAUAACUCAUUUACCAUUUGACAUUUGUGCCUUAUGUAUACGUUUAUUCAAGUGGUCUGUUUGUCCAACUAUACUUUAAGCUUUUAAAGUUCUGGAACCAAAUCAUGUAUAUAUAUUUACUUAUGGAGAAAGAGAGAGAUGAAGGAGAAGGAGGAGGAGAGGAGGAGACAGAAAAUUCAGCAGUGCCUGAGAUAAGGAGGGAGCUUAAAUCCAGAGCCAUAAAAAAAAAAAA